rnacentral:rRNA from 1 species
GAUAAUGGCUCAGAUUGAACGCUGGCGGCAGGCCUAACACAUGCAAGUCGAACGGUAACAGGAAGCAGUUUGCUGCUUUGCUGACGAGUGGCGGACGGGUGAGUAAUGUCUGGGAAACUGCCUGAUGGAGGGGGAUAACCACUGGAAACGGUAGCUAAUACCGCAUAACGUCGCAAGACCAAAGAGGGGGGACCUUCGGGCCUCUUGCCAUCGGAUGUGCCCAGAUGGGAUUAGCUAGUAGGUGGGG